rfam:Gossypium arboreum cultivar AKA8401 contig_41672_1, whole genome shotgun sequence.
AACCCAUGGUAAGGGCACCUUCUCAACAUAUCCUUGUAUCUCUCUCAUGCAUCAUAGAACGUUUCUAAAUCCAUCUGCACAAAAGAAGAGAUAUCAUUACGUAUUUU